rnacentral:lncRNA from 1 species
AUGUCUCAGAGAAAACACAGCAAAAACCAAGAAACUUACGUUGGCCCUCUGCUCGAGGGUGCCCAGAAAAAUGCCCCAGAUGAUGUUUUAUCUAUCAAAAAGGCAUUAGCUGAAAGUAGGCAGGAAAACCAAACUCUAGACAACAUGAUUAAACAAAUCAAAGCAGAGAAAAUUCAGCUUGUAAGGAAGUGCAGACACAUGGAGGCCCUAAAUAAACAGUUGGAAGAAAGGCAUAAUGAAUUUGUCAAGAACCAACGAGAAGAAGAAAAUGAAAAGCGAAGGCAGCCCAAUGUGGAUAAUAUAAAUAAGGGCUGGGAAAUAAUGUUUAAGCAAGCAAAGGAGAAGAUUCUUAACCUGGCGACAAGAAACAAGCACAACUGUGCUGAAUUAAGAAAAAUGUCCCACCAGCUUGAAGAAUCAGAAGAUAUUAAUGAGGAGCUCUAUGAGAAUCUCCAAGACACUAAGAGAAAGAACCAGGAGAUGGGAGUACAACUUGAUGAAGCCCAGGAAAAAAACAAAGAGUUGCUUCAAGAGAAAAAACAAAAGGAAAGAAAGGAGAAAAAAAUGGAAUGUAAACUUCAGAACAUGAAGAAACAAAAUAAAGUCUUGCAAGUAAAGCUUAACGAAGCACUGCACAGAAAUGCAGAAAUGGUUCACGAUGAAAGUCUCAUGAACCAACAAGACGAAGAAAAUAAAAAGACACAAAACCAGCCCAACGUAGAUAUUGAAAAUAAGGGCUGGGAAAUAAUCUUUAUUGAAGAUCCGCAGCAUAUUGUAAGCCUGAUGACAACAAACAAGCAGAACUGCGACCAGUUAAGAAAAAUGUCCCACCAGCUUCAACAAACAGAAGCUAUUAAUCAGGAGCUCUAUGAGAAUCUCCAAGACACUGAGAACAAGAAUCUGCAGCUUCAAGUAAAACUUGAUGAAGCCCUGGAGAAAAACAAAGAGUUUCUUCAGGAGAAACAGCAACAGGAAAAAAUGCACAAAAAGACACAACUUAUUCUCCAAGACUUAGAAAGGAAAAAUCUACAACUACACGGAUGUUCUAAUGAAAUGAAGGAGAAAAUCAUGGAACUAGAAGGAGAAAGGGAAAAACUGAAAAAACAAUGCUCAGGCAUGCAGUCUACUUUGAUUGAAAUGCUAAGAAAGAACACAGAGCUUGAGGAACUUAAUAACAGAUUAAAAUACAAAAACGAUGAAAUCCUGAGAAAGAACACAGUGCUCAAGGAACAUAAUAACAACUUAAAAUACAAAUACAGUGAAAUCCUAAAAAAGAACACAGAACUCGAGGAACUUAAUAACAACGUAAAAUACAAAAGCAAGAAAAUGCUCAGGGAAAACACAGAACUCGAGGAACUUAAUAAGAACUUAAAGUACAAAAACAAGAAAAUGCUCAGGGAAAACACAGAACUCGAGGAACUUAAUAAGAACUUAAAGUACAAAAACAAGAAAAUGCUCAGGGAAAACACAGAGCUUGAGGAAAUUAAUAAGAACUUAAAAUACAAAAACGAUGAAAUCCUGAGAAAGAACACAGUGCUCAAGGAACUUAAUAACAACUUAAAAUACAAAAACACUAAAAUGCUCAAGGAAAACAUAGAACUCGAGGAAACGAAUAAGAACCUAAAGUGCAAAAACUAUGAUAUGCUCAAGGAAAACACAGAACUCAAGGAAAUUAAUAAGAAUUUAAAGUGCAAAAACAACAAAAUGCUUAGGGAAAACACUGAGCUCAAGAAACUUAAUCAGAACCUAAAAUACAAAACCAAUGAAACGCCCAGGAAAAACACAGAGCUCGAGAAACUUAAUUACAACUUAAAAUGCAGAAACAAGGAAAUGCUGAGAAAGAACACGGAGCUCGAGAAACUUCUUAAGAACUUAAAAUACCAAAACAAUGAAAUGCUGAGGAAAAACACAGAGCUCGAGAAAGUUAAUAAGAACUUAAAAUGCAGAAACAAGGAAAUGCUCAGGAAAAACGCAGAGCUCGAGAGACUUAAUAACAACUUAAAAUGCAAAAAAAAUGAAAUGCUCAGGAAAAACAGAACUUAA